UACACAAAACGAGUGACAAAAAGUCCUAAGGUCCUAAAGCCUAAUCUUGGUGUUCAUUCAUCUUCAUUCCAAACUUUGCCAAGCCCUGUAGGCGAAUUCCAACCCCAAGUUAUGUCCAGACCCUUGACAAACUGGUUCCACACCUUCAUCCUUUUCUCUACUUCAUCUUCUACAAUUUGCAAUAACCUUAUCCAUCUCUGUAUCACAUCUUCCUUCAACCGCAUCAACCAAUCCAUCACAUCACACUUCUCUGCUUCGGAAUCAACAAUAACAGCGUCAUCAUCAUUACCACUCCCGCAUCAUCAUCAACACGCGGUUAGAACACUACUACCACAGAUUGACAUCGUUCUGCAUCGCAACAACGUCAAUAUUUGA